rnacentral:rRNA from 1 species
AUUCCAGCUCUAAUAGCGUAUAUUAAUGUUGUUGCAGUUAAAAAGCUCGUAGUUGGAUUUCUGGAUUGAGCGGCUGGCCUUGCGCGCAAGCGUUCGUGUCGGCUUCGUUUCGGUCCAUCCUCAGGGGGACUUGCGCUGGCAUUAACGUGUCGGUGUUGGGACGCCUGUCGUUUACUGUGAACAAAUUAGAGUGUUCAAAGCAAGGUGUACUUGAAUACAUUAGCAUGGAAUAAUAAGAUAGGACUUUGGUGGUUCUUUUUGAUAUUUUGUUGGUUUGCACGCCAAAGUAAUGAUUAAUAGGAGCAGUUGGGGGUAUUCGUAUUCAAUUGUCAGAGGUGAAAUUCUUGGAUUUAUAGAAGACGAACUACUGCGAAAGCAUUUACCAAGGAUGUUUUCAUUA